CCUACGGGAGGCAGCAGUGGGGAAUCUUGCGCAAUGGGCGAAAGCCUGACGCAGCGACGCCGCGUGGGGGAUGAAGGCCCUCGGGUUGUAAACCCCUUUCGGCAGGGACGAAGCGAUGGUGACGGUACCUGCAGAAGAAGUCCCGGCUAACUACGUGCCAGCAGCCGCGGUAAGACGUAGGGGACGAGCGUUGUCCGGAUUCAUUGGGCGUAAAGCGCGCGCAGGCGGCCGUGCAAGUCGGAUGUGAAAUCCCGGGGCUCAACCCCGGAACUGCACCCGAUACUGCACGGCUAGAGGUAGGUAGGGGAGAUCGGAAUUCCUGGUGUAGCGGUAAAAUGCGCAGAUAUCAGGAGGAACACCGGUGGCGAAGGCGGAUCUCUGGGCCUUACCUGACGCUCAGGCGCGAAAGCUAGGGGAGCGAACAGGAUUAGAUACCCUGGUAGUCCUAGCCGUAAACGUUGGGUGCUAGGUGUGGGGGGACAUCGACCCCCUCCGUGCCGAAGCUAACGCGUUAAGCACCCCGCCUGGGGAGUACGGCCGCAAGGCUAAAACUCAAAGGAAUUGACGG
rnacentral:rRNA from 1 species